UGGAGACGGAGACGGAUCCUGGGAAACAGGCUUGACGGGCGGGGGGUGGUGCCCCCGACGACGCAUCACUCCGGAUACCA
rfam:Tobacco necrosis virus RNA dependent RNA polymerase and coat protein genes, complete cds.